AUUGAACGCUGGCGGCAGGCCUAACACAUGCAAGUCGAACGGUAACAGGAAGAAGCUUGCCUCUUUGCUGACGAGUGGCGGACGGGUGAGUAAUGUCUGGGAAACUGCCUGAUGGAGGGGGAUAACUACUGGAAACGGUAGCUAAUACCGCAUAACGUCGCAAGACCAAAGAGGGGGACCUUCGGGCCUCUUGCCAUCGGAUGUGCCCAGAUGGGAUUAGCUAGUAGGUGGGGUAACGGCUCACCUAGGCGACGAUCCCUAGCUGGUCUGAGAGGAUGACCAGCCACACUGGAACUGAGACACGGUCCAGACUCCUAUGGGAGGCAGCAGUGGGGAAUAUUGCACAAUGGGCGCAAGCCUGAUGCAGCCAUGCCGCGUGUAUGAAGAAGGCCUUCGGGUUGUAAAGUACUUUCAGCGGGGAGGAAGGGAGUAAAGUUAAUACCUUUGCUCAUUGACGUUACCCGCAGAAGAAGCACCGGCUAACUCCGUG
rnacentral:rRNA from 1 species